rnacentral:rRNA from 1 species
CAUCCAAGGAAGGCAGCAGGUGCGCAAAUUACCCAAUCUUGAUUCGGUGAGGUAGUGACAAGAAAUAUCAAUAUAGGGCUUAUAGUUCUAUACUUGGAAUGAGUGGUAUUUAAAUUGCUCCGCGAGUAUCAAUUGGAGGGCAAGUCUGGUGCCAGCAGCCGCGGUAAUUCCAGCCCCAAUAGCAUAUAUUAGAGUUGUUGCGGUUAAAAAGCUCGUAGUCGGAUCUCUGCCAAGCUCGACUGGUCCGCCUCUUGAGGCGGCACCGUGUCAGGCUCUGGCAUAAUCCCGUCAUCGCUCCUUUCGCUUGAAUGCGUGAGGUAGCGUCCGGGACAAUUACUUUGAGGAAAUUAGAGUGUUUCAAGCAAGCACAAGCAUUGAAUAUACUAGCAUGGAAUAAUAAUGUGAGACCCGAGCUCUCCUUGUUGGUUUUGGAGCUUGGGUACUGAUUGAUAGGGGCAGUCGCGGGCACUCGUAUUUAGCUGUUAGAGGUGAAAUUCUUGGAUUUGUUAAGGACGAACAGGUGCGAAAGCAUUUGUCAAGGAUGUUUUCAUUGAUCAAGAACUAAAGUUAGGUGAUCGAA